UACCAGCACCCCGAGUGGUCGGGACGAUUAUUGGGCCUAAAGCAUCCGUAGCCGGUCCUGCAAGUCUUCCGUUAAAUCCAGCUGCUCAACAGAUGGGCUGCGGGGGAUACUACAGGGCUAGGAGGCGGGAGAGGCAAGCGGUACUUUAUGGGUAGGGGUAAAAUCCGUUGAUCCAUAGAAGACCACCAGUGGCGAAGGCGGCUGACUGGACACAUAUUGACGCUGAGGCUCGAAAGCAUGGGGAGCAAACAGG
rnacentral:rRNA from 1 species